rnacentral:rRNA from 1 species
UACGUAGGGGGCAAGCGUUGUCCGGAUUUAUUGGGCGUAAAGAGCGUGUAGGCGGCCUGGUAGGUCAGCUGUGAAAACUCGAGGCUCAACCUCGAGACGCCGGUUGAAACCAUCAGGCUAGAGUCCGGAAGAGGAGAGUGGAAUUCCUGGUGUAGCGGUGAAAUGCGCAGAUAUCAGGAAGAACACCUAUGGCGAAGGCAGCUCUCUGGGACGGUACUGACGCUGAGACGCGAAAGCGUGGGGAGCGAACAGG